GAUAGAAAUGCUGGGUCAUAUGGUAAUUCUACAUUUAACAUUGAGGAACCACCAAACUGUUUCUCAUUAGUCUGUACCAUUUUAUAUUCCCACCAGCAAU
rnacentral:pre_miRNA from 1 species